rnacentral:rRNA from 1 species
AUUGAACGCUGGCGGCAGGCCUAACACAUGCAAGUCGAGCGGAUGAAGGGAGCUUGCUCCUGGAUCCAGCGGCGGACGGGUGAGUAAUGCCUAGGAAUCUGCCUGGUAGUGGUGGAUAACGUCCGGAAACGGGCGCUAAUACCGCAUACGUCCUGCGGGAGAAAGUGGGUGAUCUUCGGACCUCACGCUAUCAGAUGAGCCUAGGUCGGAUUAGCUAGUUGGUGGGGUAAAGGCCUACCAAGGCGCCGAUCCGUAACUGGUGUGAGAGGAGGAUCAGUCACACUGGAACUGAGACACGGUCCUGGCUCCUACGGGAGGCAGCAGUGGCGAAUGUUGGACAAAGGGGGGAAGCCUGAUCCAGCCGUGGCGCGUGUGUGAAGAAGGUCCUCGGAUUGGAAAGCACUUUAAGUGGGGAGAAAGGGCAGUAAGUUAAUACCAUGCUGGUGUGACGGUACCGGCAGAAGAAGCACCGGCUAACUACGUG